rnacentral:pre_miRNA from 1 species
AGUGGGAUAGCUGGGUCAAAUGGUGGUUCCAUUCCAAGUUUUCUGAGGAAUCUCCAAACUGCUUUCCAUAGCAGUUGUACCCAUUUGCAGUCCCACCAGCAAU